GCUGCUUAAAACCAGAAAACACUUAACCAAAAUCUAAAGCCUCCUCCGAAUUGAUCUCUCAUGUCUCCCUCUCUCUCUCAUCUCCUCCACCCACUGCCCCCUCCCCCACCCGAUCAUCAAUCAGACAUUCAGACUUCAGUUCCUUUCUUCCUCAAUCAUAAAUCCACUUUCGAUUUCGAUCCGAUUCUUCUGGGGCGAAGUGUCGAACUCCCUAUCUUGAAUCUGCCUCUUCUAGAAGCACCAUGUGCUCAAGGCCAAGGAUGAGAAGGCCCUCCUCGUCUGUGCGAAGCCAGUCGCCGUCUUUGGGCUCAGAAACCUGGAGGUGAUCCCAUGGUGUCGGUUGGUGUUGAUAUUGUCCACUGGAGUGUUGAUAUUGUCCACUACAAUUUUCUUUAAUUUGAUUGCAGUAUGACUCAGUAUAUGCAUGAAUUGAAUGGCUGAGCUUUUUUAGCUUGAUAUAGCUAAUACAAGGUUUAAUUCUAUCUUCAGUAUGGCUGAGCUUUGAUUGCAUCAGUAUGACUUGGUUUUCGAUAUGUCCUUGUGAUUUCAUUUCGGUGACGGCGCUGGGUUUGGGCGACAGGGUUUAUGCUAAGAUUUCUAGGGUGGAUAUGGAGGAGCGUCCGCAGAGAUUGGAUGGAAUAGGACAAUCCCAAUCUGGAGGUCUCAUUUUGGAACCUAUUGAUGUUCUACUGCAAAGACGGGAGCAAAAGGCAUUUACAAGGGUAUGGUAAAUUACUGUCCUUCGUGUCAAAGCUCAAAGUGGCUUACAUUUAUCAAUAUCAUGCAGCCACUUCAAUGCAUGUCAAAGCUCAAAGGCACAUAUUUAAUAUAUAUGAUCUUGACAUAUAUAAUGACACGUAUUUAAUAUAUAUAAUCUAGACAUAUAUAAUAUCAUCAGUAUAGUCUGAUCGUAGGAGGACCUACUAGUUGAUCAUGUUGGUUUUCCUUAUAUGUUUGCCCACUUUGCUUUUCCUAUGUUCAUUUCCAUUGGGUAAAUUCAGCAUAUGGUUACCGCAUUUUUGAUUGCCAACGUGAAGAUUAUAUUUUCCUUAAGAAUGCUUUCAAUCGAUCAAGAUUAUAGCAUCUUUGUUGUUCAUAUCUUAUCCAGCCACAUUUCACAUUUGCUGUUCGUUCUGCAACCAUUAUUUCCUGCGGAGGCUAGCAAUGAUUGGAAGGGGCCAAUAUGAUGCUGCCUAUGAUAUAGGUCAGUUAACUAUAUUUUUUCAGAAACAUAUAUUUACCCUGAAGACUGCAUUUUGUACUUCAGGUGAUACAAAAUUUUGGAUUGAGAUCUUGUGGGUCAGUCUCAGAAACUAAAUAGGCAAUAUCUUGUUGUAUUUCUGGUUAUGUUCAAAGUUUAGUAAUGUGUGUUGGAGUUGGUUUGUUUCUUUAGAAAGUGAAACUCAUGUGUGGAUUCAAAUGACUCUUGCUUGACAGGGAACUUGAUGUAUGCUCAUUCUUGGACAAGGAUUAUGUUGUAAUCUUAGUGAUAUUCCACCUUGAACAACAAUGUAUACUAGGAAUGUAAAGAACAUCUUGCUAUGAAUGUAAAGUUUAUUCAUGUUCGAUUGAGUUGUGGAUUUGUUCACUUGAUUGUAAAUAUUUGAAGUGAAUUUAUUGUACAGAAAUCAAAACUAUUAUUAUG